rnacentral:rRNA from 1 species
CCUACGGGUGGCAGCAGUCGGGAAUCUUCCGCAAUGGGCGCAAGCCUGACGGAGCGACGCCGCGUGAGCGAUGAAGGCCUUCGGGUUGUAAAGCUCUGUGGGGAGGGAAGAAUAAGUUCAAGUGAAUAUCUUGAAUGAUGACGGUACCUCCUUAGCAAGCACCGGCUAACUCUGUGCCAGCAGCCGCGGUAAGACAGAGGGUGCAAACGUUGUUCGGAUUUACUGGGCGUAAAGCGCGUGUAGGCGGCUUUGCAAGUCGGAUGUGAAAUCCCACGGCUCAACCGUGGAAGUGCAUCCGAAACUGCAUCGCUGGAGUCUCGGAGAGGAAGGUGGAAUGCUUGGUGUAGAGGUGAAAUUCGUAGAUAUCAAGCAGAACACCUGCGGCGAAGGCGGCCUUCUGGACGAUGACUGACGCUGAGACGCGAAAGCGUGGGGAGCAAACAGGAUUAGAUACCCUGUAGUC